UACGUAGGGUGCGAGCAUUGUCCGGAAUUAUUGGCGUAAAGAGCUCGUAGGCGGCCUGUCACGUCGGAUGUGAAAGCCCGGGGCUUAACCCCGGGUCUGCAUUCGAUACGGGCAGGCUGGAGUUCGGUAGGGGAGAUCGGAAUUCCUGGUGUAGCGGUGAAAUGCGCAGAUAUCAGGAGGAACACCGGUGGCGAAGGCGGAUCUCUGGGCCGAUACUGACGCUGAGGAGCGAAAGCGUGGGGAGCGAACAGG
rnacentral:rRNA from 1 species